UACCACCGAGCGGCGGGU
rnacentral:snRNA from 1 species